AAAAUAGUAAUCAACUUUGAGAAGUGAAGAGGCAAAGGGGGAGACAUAUAUAAUUCAUAAAAUAGCUACUGGAGGUAUUAGAACAAAUAUGAUGAAAAUUGAGUAUUCUGGAAUACACUAAACAGAGGACUCCAAGAAAUGAGAAACAGAUAAAGCUACACAAAUGGAAGGAACUUGGCUUCUGGAAGGCAUGGAACAAGGACCUCGCAGACUGCAAGGAUGUAUAUAAGCAAUAAAUAAGAUUUUAUUGUGAUAUACUACUGUGGUUUUAGAGAUUGUUAAAUGGACAAGAAUUACUAGAACUGACUAACACAGGUUUGGCUAUUUUUUUUUCUUUUGUAAGGAGUAGAGUAGCACAUAAUUAUAAAGAUUUCAAUGAAUUAUGUUGAGAAACUUUUAUUAUUUGAAUUCUGGUCUAAUUUAAUAAAUCUGGGUCCCAAAUACUCAUUAAUUCCUCAUGAUCUGAAUGCCACUCCAAGGAUACACAAUCUUAGUGUCAUAUCAGCAAGAGCUGGGAAGGUGAGAGAGGAGAGGAAAGAGUCUAAAAAUCUCUCUAUAGGGAAUUCUUAUUUGAAAGCCAGUCUAAAAACAAAGGUUUUUUUUAUUUGUUUGUUUGUUUGUUUUUGAGCCAGUUGUAGCAAUGUCCUAUGUGAGGAACACUUGGGGGCCCACUGAGAGAGGUACAAUGUCAAAGGAAAAACAAGGUGAAGAAUCAAUGUGAAAGAAAUUUCAACAACCAAAGAGAUAGUAAUUUUUAAACAGCUAUAUCCAACGUGUUAUAUAUGCUGUGAUUGCCUUCGCAGAGGUCACUGAAACCAAAGUCCAGCUCAGGGGACAUUUGAUUGCUGAUUCAAAAGGAUGCAUCAUAAGAUUAAGAUGUUAUGUACAAAUCAAGAAAUGGUUCCAAAACAAGAAAUUAAGUAUGCUGAGAAAUUCAGUAUCUGUUGACUAUCUGAGAUUUUUCAAUCAAUCCCUAAAACAGAAUGGUGAACAUAAGGUUGUAACCAAUUCCACUGCUAAAUCAUUUCAGAAUUGUUAAAAAUUCCUGUUAAUGUGGAAAACUCUAGUACUUAAAUAUUUAAAAGUAUUGUGCGGUUGUCUAAAUCUCUUCACAGAUCUCUAAGAACUUGUUUUAUGAAUCUGGGUGCCUCAGUAUUGGGUGCCUACAUAUUUAGGAUAGUUAGCUCUUCUUUAGGAUUGAAUCCUUUAUCAUUAUGC
rnacentral:lncRNA from 1 species